AACAGGUGUGGUAGAGUAGAUUAAUGAAUUUUAGGAAUUUUAGGACACAUCAUCAGUAGUGUACCCCAGAGUCAUCAGGUGUUUCGGCCUUUAAACACUAUACACCCUCAUCUGAGGCGGCCAGCCAUAGGUUGAUCAAGCCCAGGCUUGUGUCCCAUGCCCAAAUCAGUUAUUUAUUUUUAAAGUAUUAUAUUGUAUAAAAGCUAAUGCAGUGUUUUAGAUAAAUGCUGUUGUAUUUUUAAGAACGCUAUUUUUAGCCUUUUUUGCUUUUUACAAAGUUGGAUUUUUUAUUGUUAACUGUGGUGUGUGUGCUGAUAGAAGACUGGGCGCUCAUUUAAGAUCUGUUUGCCCCAGACCACCUUCCCUGCGUGCUGUCCUAGUGGACCCAGAGAGGCUGAAUACUUACCCCUUGCCCAACUGACCCUUCGUUAACACCGCUAGGUUGCCCAGGUCAGCCAGACAAGGUCUGAGAAUUUGGGCCUAUCCCAGUUAGUCUCCCCGAGCGACGGGUAGAAAACCAGGACCGGAAACCGUGCCCCAACCACCCGUUGCCAGGUGGCUGACUCCAAGACCCGGGAAGGUAGGUCCCGUGCAAUACGUCACCUCCCAGACAGUCUUGGGCGGAGGUCCAAGCCGGCGGAUAGCUUUCCUUCGAAUUCCAGGCCGGUGUGGUCCAACGCUGAAAUAUUUCCGGAAAGAUACCAAGCUUCUACCGCUUUGGAUCCCCUAUUUGGGGUUGUACACCAAUGGCGGACUGGUCCCUCCACCGUUUAGGUGCAGGGAUUCGUCAAGCUUCUACCAGAGGCGCUCACCCCAUCUAUCAGCAUUGUGGUUUUCUGGGGGAUUUGGAUCUUGGCUGUGGUAAAAUCCAUCGCGGUGAACUCUUGUAUUUUUAUGUUGUAGAAUUGUUCUUCAGAGUACCAGCUUUUAUUAGCAAAAAACCCCGUGUCCGUAAAUGGCAUCGUUUUGGAGUUAUUAGCAUUUGAAGAUUUGGUUUUGUGACCAUUUGCAUAUUGGGAAGACUCCCAGCAUUCCUUGAGAAUCUACCAUCAUCUAGACUUUUGUUCAUUUUGGUGUGGUUCCUGGUUUUGUUGGCUUAUUUGAUAUAAUGGCUCCCUAUGACAGGGAGUCACUCGCACCAUUCUCCCCCAAGGGACGAAUAGUGGGCUCCAAAUUUGGGCUUGUAGUCCCAAGUUAUAGUUUGGAGUCCACCCCUGGUUAAGGUGGGGGGCCCCGUUGUUUGGCCCCCAACCACAGAUUGGGUGGGGGGGGGAGAGAGUUAGGGUAGAGGUUUGGUUUAGGCCCUAGGUUAUCUUUGGGGGUUUUAGAGUUAGGGCUAGUGCUGUACUUAGGCUUAAGAUCAGGUUCAGGCCCAAGGUAGACUUAUGGUUAGGCUUGGGUUAGGGUUAGGCCAGAGGUUUGGUUUAGGCCCUAGGUUCUGUUUGGGGCCUUAGGGUUAGGGCCAAUGCUAUGCUUAGGCUUAAGGCCAUAAGGUUAGGUUUAGGGCUAAGGUUAGGGUUAGGGUUUAGGGCUAAGUAUAGGGU